ACGAGCUCUCCAAAUUGAUUUUAUGCUUGCAUAAAUGAUUUUUGGAUUCGGAGCGAGUGGCGAACUGGUGAGUAACACGUGGGUAACCUGCCCCGAAGCGGGGGAUAACAUUUGGAAACAAGUGCUAAUACCGCAUAAUUAGUUGGAACCGCAUGGUUCCAACUUGAAAGAUGGCUCUGCUAUCACUUUGGGAUGGACCCGCGCCGUAUUAGUUAGUUGGUGAGAUAAAAGCCCACCAAGACGAUGAUACGUAGCCGACCUGAGAGGGUAAUCGGCCACAUUGGGACUGAGACACGGCCCAGACUCCUACGGGAGGCAGCAGUAGGGAAUCUUCCACAAUGGACGAAAGUCUGAUGGAGCAACGCCGCGUGAGUGAUGAAGGUUUUCGGAUCGUAAAACUCUGUUGUUAAAGAAGAACAAGUGUUAGAGUAACUGUUAACACUUUGACGGUAUUUAACCAGAAAGCCACGGCUAACUACGUGCCAGCAGCCGCGGUAAUACGUAGGUGGCAAGCGUUGUCCGGAUUUAUUGGGCGUAAAGCGAGCGCAGGCGGUUUUGUAAGUCUGCUGUGAAAGCCCUCAGCUCAACUGAGGAAGUGCAGUGGAAACUACAAAACUUGAGUACAGAAGAGGAAAGUGGAACUCCAUGUGUAGCGGUGAAAUGCGUAGAUAUAUGGAAGAACACCAGUGGCGAAGGCGGCUUUCUGGUCUGUUACUGACGCUGAGGCUCGAAAGCAUGGGUAGCGAACAGGAUUAGAUACCCUGGUAGUCCAUGCCGUAAACGAUGAAUACUAGGUGUUGGAGGGUUUCCGCCCUUCAGUGCCGCAGCUAACGCAUUAAGUAUUCCGCCUGGGGAGUACGACCGCAAGGUUGAAACUCAAAGGAAUUGACGGGGGCCCGCACAAGUGGUGGAGCAUGUGGUUUAAUUCGAUGCUACGCGAAGAACCUUACCAGCUCUUGACAUCUUCUGCCAACCCAAGAGAUUGGGCGUUCCCUUCGGGGACAGAAUGACAGGUGGUGCAUGGUUGUCGUCAGCUCGUGUCGUGAGAUGUUGGGUUAAGUCCCGCAACGAGCGCAACCCUUAUUAUUAGUUGCCAGCAUUUAGUUGGGCACUCUAGUGAGACUGCCGGUGAUAAACCGGAGGAAGGUGGGGACGACGUCAAAUCAUCAUGCCCCUUAUGAGCUGGGCUACACACGUGCUACAAUGGAUGGUACAACGAGUCGCGAAACCGCGAGGUCAAGCUAAUCUCUUAAAGCCAUUCUCAGUUCGGAUUGCAGGCUGCAACUCGCCUGCAUGAAGUUGAAUCAC
rnacentral:rRNA from 2 species